UAGCGGAGAAAAGAAACCAACAGGGAUUGCCCCAGUAACGGCGAGUGAAGCGGCAACAGCUCAAAUUUGAAAUCUGGCCCCCUCGGGGCCCGAGUUGUAAUUUGCAGAGGGAGCUUUUGGCGUCGGUCGUGGUCUAAGUUCCUUGGAACAGGACGUCACAGAGGGUGAGAAUCCCGUACGUGGCCGCCGGCCUUCGCCUUGUAAAGCCCCUUCGACGAGUCGAGUUGUUUGGGAAUGCAGCUCUAAAUGGGAGGUAAAUUCCUUCUAAAGCUAAAUACCCGCCAGAGACCGAUAGCGCACAAGUAGAGUGAUCGAAAGAUGAAAAGCACUUUGGAAAGAGAGUGAAAAAGCACGUGAAAUUGUUGAAAGGGAAGCGCUUGCGGCUAGACGUGCCCGCGGUUGAUCAUCCAGGCUCCGGCCUGGUGCACUCCUCCGCGGGCAGGCCAGCAUCAGUUCGGGCGGUCGGAUAAAGGCCUCUGUCACGUACCACCCCUCGGGGUGGCCUUAUAGGGGAGGCGCAACACGGCCAGCCCGGACUGAGGUUCCGCGCAUCUGCUAGGAUGCUGGCGUAAUAGCAGCAAGCGGCCCGUCUUGAAACACGGACCAAGGAGUCUAACAUCUAUGCGAGUGUUUGGGUGUCAAGCCCGAGCGCGCAAUGAAAGUGAACGGAGGUGGGAACCCUCACGGGUGCACCAUCGACCGAUCCUGAUGUCUUCGGAUGGAUUUGAGUAAGAGCAUAGCUGUUGGGACCCGAAAGAUGGUGAACUAUGCCUGAAUAGGGUGAAGCCAGAGGAAACUCUGGUGGAGGCUCGCAGCGGUUCUGACGUGCAAAUCGAUCGUCAAAUUU
rnacentral:rRNA from 1 species